GGGCCUAUAGUAUAACGGCAGUACGCUGCCUUCGCAUGGCAGAGGUGGUGGUUCAAUUCCACCUAGGUCCAC
rnacentral:tRNA from 1 species